rnacentral:rRNA from 1 species
CCGUAGCUAACGCAUUAAGUGCCCCGCCUGGGGAGUACGGCCGCAAGGCUAAAACUCAAAGGAAUUGACGGGGGCCCGCACAAGCGGCGGAGCAUGCGGAUUAAUUCGAUGCAACGCGAAGAACCUUACCAAGGCUUGACAUGAACCGGUAAUACCUGGAAACAGGUGCCCCGCUUGCGGUCGGUUUACAGGUGGUGCAUGGUUGUCGUCAGCUCGUGUCGUGAGAUGUUGGGUUAAGUCCCGCAACGAGCGCAACCCUCGUUCUAUGUUGCCAGCGCGUUAUGGCGGGGACUCAUAGGAGACUGCCGGGGUCAACUCGGAGGAAGGUGGGGACGACGUCAAAUCAUCAUGCCCCUUAUGUCUUGGGCUUCACGCAUGCUACAAUGGCCGGUACAAAGGGUUGCGAUACUGUGAGGUGGAGCUAAUCCCAAAAAGCCGGUCUCAGUUCGGAUUGGGGUCUGCAACUCGACCCCAUGAAGUCGGAGUCGCUAGUAAUCGCAGAUCAGCAACGCUGCGGUGAAUACGUUCCCGGGCCUUGUACACACCGCCCGUCAAGUCACGAAAGUUGGUAACACCCGAAGCCGGUGGCCUAACCCUUGUGGGGGGAGCCGUCGAAGGUGGGACUGGCGAUUGGGACUAAGUCGUAACAAGGUAGCCGUACCGGAAGGUGCGGCUGGAUCACCUCCU